GUGAGGAAUAUUGGUCAAUGGGCGGGAGCCUGAACCAGCCAAGUCGCGUGAAGGAAGAAGGAUCUAUGGUUCGUAAACUUCUUUUGCAGGGGAAUAAAGUGCAGGACGUGUCCUGUUUUGUAUGUACCCUGAGAAUAAGGAUCGGCUAACUCCGUGCCAGCAGCCGCGGUAAUACGGAGGAUCCGAGCGUUAUCAGGAUUUAUUGGGUUGAAAGGGUGCGUAGGUGGUUUGAUAAGUCAGCGGUGUAAGUUUGCAGCUUAACUGUAAGAAUGCCGUAGAAACUGUCGGGCUUGAGUGUAAAGGAGGUAGGAUUAAUGCGUGGUGUAGCGGUGAAAUGCAUAGAUAGCACGCAGAACUCCGAUUGCGAAGGCAGCUUACUAAGCUACAACUGACACUGAAGCACGAAAGCGUGGGGAUCAAACAGGAUUAGAUACCCUAGUAGUCC
rnacentral:rRNA from 1 species